CUAAAGCUUAGAUCAGGGAUGGAAGUCAAUUUUGGAAGUCAUCAGCAUAUAAGAAUCAGAUAAAACCAUAGGAAUUGAAGAAAUCAUUUUGAGAGAAAAUUAAUAGUAGGAGGAAGGAGAACCUAGGAAUAAUUUUUUUAAAGACUCACAUUUAAAGGCUAGGUCAAGGAAGAGAAAUCAGUGAAAAACUCUCAGGAGGAAUCAAGGUAGCAGAAAAUAUGGAGGAAUGUCAUGAAAGCAAAGGAGACAGUUGUUUCAAGAUGUAGGUAAACAAUUGUGGGGGCCACAUGAGGCUGAAGUGAGGCCAUUGGAUCUGGCAGGUAGCAAGGUGGUGGAGAAGAGUUUCAGUGGAGCACUGGGGUAGGAGGCAGGAUGCAGAUUGCAGUGGCUCAGGCUGAGAAUCUAGAGUAAGAAUGUGUACAAAGCAAGAGUAAUUGAUUCCUUUAAAAGGUUUACUUGUAAAACAAGGAAGGAAGGCUGAAAAAAAAAGGGUAUUUUUAAAUCCAGGGAUGAUUGGAGCAUAAAUAAAUUUCUAAAUUGACAAGAGAAGCCAGGGGAGAGGUAAAACUAGAACAAUAGUUUGAACAAGGACUCAAAGAAGAUGGAAGGUGAGGGGAGCGAGAGCCUUGGAGAGGGGGGUGCUCUUCUUCUAAGACUAGAGAGAAAUGCUAUAGGCCAAUCUGAAUGUGAGACUAGUGAAGCUGAGCGAGGCUAUAUGUUAUAAUGGCCAUUUGCUAAGAAUGAAAGGAAUAGGAAAAAGGUUAAGGACUUAAGAAAAUUUAUAAAGGCUUAUAUGAAAAGGAAGCUGAGUUCCAAGGGGGAAGAAUUGCUAAAUAGUCACAAGUGCAAAUAGAAAAUUUAAAGGAACUAAUUUAUAUUGCCAUCAAAUUUGUACCAGUAGCUACUGGAAAGAAACAGAAGAAGUAAACAAUUUAUGGAUCUCGCAUUGGAGAUAGCAAGGGAGCAUUUCAAGGUGAGAUGGGACUACUGAUUAGACUGAUGAAAAUGUAGU
rnacentral:lncRNA from 1 species